AUUGAACGCUGGCGGCAUGCCUUACACAUGCAAGUCGAACGGUAACAGGUCUUCGGAUGCUGACGAGUGGCGAACGGGUGAGUAAUACAUCGGAACGUGCCCGAUCGUGGGGGAUAACGAAGCGAAAGCUUUGCUAAUACCGCAUAAGAUCUACGGAGGAAAGCAGGGGACCGUAAGGCCUCGCGCGAUUGGAGCGGGCGAUGUCAGAUUAGGUAGUUGGUGGGGUAAAGGCUCACCAAGCCAACGAUCUGUAGCUGGUCUGAGAGGACGACCAGCCACACUGGGACUGAGACACGGCCCAGACUCCUACGGGAGGCAGCAGUGGGGAAUUUUGGACAAUGGGGGCAACCCUGAUCCAGCAACGCCGCGUGCAGGAAGAAGGCCUUCGGGUUGUAAACUGCUUUUGUACGGAACGAAAAGGCUCUGGUUAAUACCUGGGGCACAUGACGGUACCGUAAGAAUAAGCACCGGCUAACUACGUGCCAGCCGCCGCAUAACAC
rnacentral:rRNA from 1 species